rnacentral:rRNA from 1 species
UACGUAGGGUGCGAGCGUUAAUCGGAAUUACUGGGCGUAAAGCGUGCGCAGGCGGUUUUGUAAGCCAGAUGUGAAAUCCCCGGGCUUAACCUGGGAAUGGCAUUUGGGGACUGCAAGGCUGGAGUUUGGGCAGAGGAGACUGGAAUUCCUGGUGUAGCAGUGAAAUGCGUAGAUAUCAAGAGGAACACCAGUGGCGAAGGCGAGUCCCUGGACGAUACCUGACACUGAGGCACGGAAAGCGUGGGGAGCAAAAGGG